rnacentral:rRNA from 1 species
AACGAACGCUGGCGGCAGGCUUAACACAUGCAAGUCGAACGCCCCGCAAGGGGAGUGGCAGACGGGUGAGUAACGCGUGGGAACAUACCCUUUCCUGCGGAAUAGCUCCGGGAAACUGGAAUUAAUACCGCAUACGCCCUACGGGGGAAAGAUUUAUCGGGGAAGGAUUGGCCCGCGUUGGAUUAGCUAGUUGGUGGAGUAAAGGCCUACCAAGGCGACGAUCCAUAGCUGGUCUGAGAGGAUGAUCAGCCACAUUGGGACUGAGACACGGCCCAAACUCCUACGCGAGGCAGCAGUGGGGAAUAUUGGACAAUGGGCGCAAGCCUGAUCCAGCCAUGCCGCGUGAGUGAUGAAGGCCUUAGGGUUGUAAAGCUCUUUCACCGAUGAAGAUAAUGACGGUAGUCGGAGAAGAAGCCCCGGCUAACUUCGUGCCAGCAGCCGCCGUAAAAC